GGAUGAGGACACCAACUGGGACGUCGGGGACAGACCCUAAUGGUGGCCUGGGCCCAGCAGGACUGCAUUUUAGGUCACUCUCCCUGGGAAACGGAACCCUUGGACAAGGAUACCGUGAACCAGGCGGCAGCAUCCCGGAUGCACUGAACUAAGAAAAGAGGAGCUGGCGGUACCCAGCAUGGAGCCCUGACCCACGGGUCCCCCCACAUCCUGGACCAAGUCACGGCAGAAGAUGCAGCAGUAGGUCCCAGCAAGGAGGAGUGGGGCCGAAAGCACCUGAGUGAGGACACAGAGGUCAGGGAGGUCUGUGCACCAGUGUAGACACGAGGCGGGUGAGGAGAAGGGGAGGUGAGAUGGACACGACACGCGUUCACUGGACCCACGUUUAUCAGAUGCUGCCCUGGCUGCCAUUCCUCUUCACAGCGAGACCUGUUGAAACCAGCCCCCGGGGAGACCUGGGGGCAGUCUUGUGGGCCAGAGGGGCCAGGGUCUCUUGUGAGGUGUCUCUCCAGCAGCACCGAACCCUCGACAUUGAGAUGCAGCCAAGAUGCAAGAGGAGAGUGUUCAUCUCCAGGGCAGAAGAACGUCUUCACCGGGUUCGCACGAGAGGGAAGACUGCCCGACCGUCCUGGGAGACAGAGAGAGUCUCCCCCAGCCACCUGACAGACGCUCCCCUCUUGGAGAAGGCCGUCUGUCCACGGUUUCUAGGCGGCUGCAGCAAAAACAGGACAGAAGCCAGCCCACCCCAAGCCCGUGGCUUCCAUCAGGGCGGAUUCCCUGCCCCAGGCCUUGAGCCACCCCACGGAGGCCAGCGUGUGAGGAGAAGGGGGAGCCAGGGCAGCAGCUGUUGGAUAAGGAGGAAACGCUGCAAUAAAUACACCACAGAGCUCCAGAAUGUUCCGUGACAUCAUCCACAUAAUCCCCAGGGUGCAGGGAAGACAGCUCGUGGCUCAGCCGUGACUGGGUCCCACUGGGCAGGGUGGUGACACAGUGCCGUCCACUGCUUGGGGGAGACCCAGGGGACCCACCACCACCAGAAUUCGAGGUGGAGCCAUGGCUCCAGGCACCUUGCCGUGUGGAGGUGGAGCUGGGUGCUGGGGAGCGAGACGUGGACACCCCGACACGGACGCCUUUCUGUAAAAGCAAAAUGCCCUUGUGGGGCUGAGACUGUCACUUGUUGCCACUGUUUGGAACUGUUGUAAAGUGAAGCACACGGACAGAGAAGACAGACAGACAGACCAGACCCCGGAGAGCAUGGGCGCCGGCACCCUCGUGGUUCCGUCCAUGGCAGCUUCCGAGGGCUCGGCCCCGGAACCAGCGGCAGCCUCUUGGCCUGACCCCUGUAACGGCCAGAAACGGACGACUUUCACAUUUACCAUUGGACAACUUUCCUUUUCUCUGAUAGGAUCCAAACUGUGAAAUUGGAAGAAGCCUAGAAGUUUUUUUUAAAGAGAAAAAAUGCUUGUCUAUUUUUCUAAAAUGAAUGAUGAGUGAUGAAUUCCCCCUGGGCAACGCCACUUCUCUGCUAAUGCUGGAGCGGGGCUG
rnacentral:lncRNA from 1 species